rnacentral:misc_RNA from 1 species
GUCCCUAUAAAACGCAGGAAGUAUUCGUAGGCUCCAAAGGUGAGGAAGUAGUGGAGGCGCUCGAUGGGAGUGCCCUGGAAGAUAGGCCAUUGGCCGCAGAGGAAGGAGACCAACGCUAGCAGUGUGGCCANNNNUGCCAGAACCCAAUGCUCUGCCAUCGUUUAUCUUUAAAGAUUCGAGAAUGAAAAAACUUUUAGAGAUGGAGAAUUUGGGAGAUGGGCUCUUGCGGUUGGGAAAUUC